UAAGGAAUAUUGGUCAAUGGACGCAAGUCUGAACCAGCCAUGCCGCGUGAAGGAUGAAGGUCCUCUGGAUUGUAAACUUCUUUUAUCUGGGACGAAAACGGGAUUUUUAUCUCAAUUGACGGUACCAGAGGAAUAAGCACCGGCUAACUCCGUGCCAGCAGCCGCGGUAAUACGGAGGGUGCGAGCGUUAUCCGGAUUUACUGGGUUUAAAGGGUGCGUAGGUGGGCUUAUAAGUCAGUGGUGCAAUCUCCGAGCUUAACUUGGAAACUGCCGUUGNUACUAUAGGUCUUGAAUUAUCUGGAGGUAAGAGGAAUAUGUCAUGUAGCGGUGAAAUGCUUAGAUAUGACAUAGAACACCAAUUGCGAAGGCAGCUUACUACAUAUAAAUUGACGCUGAGGCACGAAAGCGUGGGGAUCAAACA
rnacentral:rRNA from 1 species